UGGGGAAUAUUGGGCAAUGGGCGAAAGCCUGACCCAGCGACGCCGCGUGAGGGAAGACGGUCUUCGGAUUGUAAACCUUAGUCAACAGGGAAGAAGCAAGUGACGGUACCUGUGGAGGAAGCCACGGCUAACUACGUGCCAGCAGCCGCGGUAAUACGUAGGUGGCGAGCGUUAUCCGGAUUUACUGGGUGUAAAGGGUGUGUAGGCGGGAAGGCAAGUCAGGCGUGAAAAUUACGGGCUCAACUCGUAACCUGCGCUUGAAACUGUUUUUCUUGAGAGUCGGAGAGGUAAAUGGAAUUCCCAGUGUAGCGGUGAAAUGCGUAGAUAUUGGGAGGAACACCAGUGGCGAAGGCGAUUUACUGGACGAUUACUGACGCUGAGACACGAAAGCGUGGGGAGCAAACAGG
rnacentral:rRNA from 2 species